UCAAAUAGCUUUAGUACCCGGCAACACUGCAGGAAAUAUGAGCUAUGACUGAUAUUUAAUUAGUGACAUUUAUAAUAAAUAUAGGGAGAAGGUUCAUUUCGUGACAUUUGUUAACAAAAUAUGGCAAAAAUACUAACGUUUGAUGACAAUUGACAAAAAUACUGUGACAUUUAAUAGAAAUGUCACAUAAUUAAGAAUAAAAUGACAUUUAAUUAGUGAUAUGUACAGCAAAUGUCAAAAAAAUUACUAGUUUCAAAAAAGAAAGAGAAUUUUUUUCCCCAAAUCUCCCUCUCAAAUCUCUAAAAAACCCUACUCUCUUAGAACAAUUGAAGUUCAUUUUUCCCCUCCCCAGUUUCUCUAUCCCGUCCGAAUCCUUACACCCCUACCAUGAAUCUCAAAAUCCUUCAGGAAUAGCAGUAUGAAAUGUAUUCUCUUCUUGUUUAAUUCCCUAUUUCCUUCUCUUUGUCUACUGCGCAUUGGAAUAACUCUAGAGCUGAACUUAGAGAUGUGCUAGCUUUGGGGCUUAAUGUUACCAGGUAUUUAUUCUUGUACACUUAAUAAACUAGUUAGUUGCAUGAUCAUAUUAAGCAGUCAUCAGAUAUCAUGAAAAUAUUAUUUUGCACAGAAGGAGAAAUGGAGAAUGCUAGUAAGUAAACAUCACAUCCAUAUGUAUCAUUAGCUUUAUAUACUAAGGGCUUGUUUAGUUAGUACAGUAUGGUAAUUAACUCUUGGCUUUCAAAGGAGAAAUGCUAUAAUGAUAAGUCUGCUAUAUCUACAUAUAGGGUGCUAUCUACUUUGCUAAUUAUUUUUGUCCCUACGGAAAUUAUGCAAUUGGUCAAAUAUCUUUAGAAUUUACUAGGUUGAAAUGUACCGAUGGCUAUGCUGGUUGAUUAGGUGAAAAAUAAGGUAGCACACAUAUACUGGCCUUUGGGUGUAUGAUAUGGAGUUGCAGUGAGAAAGUCCAGAGUGUGGCAACUUAUGGUAAGGUCCUUGUAAAUUUGAUGGCCAUAUGACAUCUUUCUUUCUUAAAAUUAUGUGUUUUUACUAAGGGAAUUUGUUCGUUGGUGGCAAAUAGCUUGUGGAAUACUUCAAUUAGUAAUCUUAUAAGGAUACUCGUGACAAUCGCUGCACUAUAUAAAUUCAUUUUAUUAAAUCGUUCUUCUAUGCAGAUUAUGCGAUCUUCUUUUGACUUUCAAUCACUUGCUAAUUUAUUUCCUAGUUUAUGAAAUCAUAGGUUGACUACCUCACACAACCUUGUUGUCUCAAUUCAAUAGAGUGUCAAAUGGGUGGAAGCGCAAGGAAAUUGGAGCUGAAGGGAUGUAGCAGAAAAAGUGGAAGAAAGAGUUGAGGAAGUGAAACAAUCUAUUGCAGAAUUUGCUACAAUUUGCUUUUAUCCAGCCUAAUAGUUUCUUUCUACCAUUGUUUAAUUGUAAGGAUGUGCUGCUAUUCACAAAUACAUUCUUGUAAUUAGUUACAGAGAUUUUUUGUUAACUCAUUUUAUUACAGUUCAAAUUUUAUAUAUUUAUUGACA